GACAGAGGGUGCAAACGUUGCUCGGAAUUACUGGGCGUAAAGCGCGUGUAGGUGGAUUGGUGUGUCAGAUGUGAAAGCCCUGGGCUCAACCCAGGAACUGCACCUGAAACUACCAGUCUUGAGUGGUGGAGAGGGAAGUGGAAUUCCUGGUGUAGAGGUGAAAUUCGUAGAUAUCAGGAAGAACACCCGUGGCGAAGGCGGCUCUCUGGAACGCAACUGACGCUGAGACGCGAAAGCGUGGGGAGCAAACAGG
rnacentral:rRNA from 1 species